rnacentral:lncRNA from 1 species
AGAACUCACUUCUUAACGCAAAACCUACUGCUUCUAGUUAUGAAUUCACCAUGGAGAAAGAAACAAAUGCAACAGACCUUGGAGAAGUAUUAUAUUUCCCUCCAGAUUGUGUCUAUGCAUGUAUGUGUUGAGAAUGAGUUAUUCUAGCACGGGCUCAUUAUUCUGUAGAAGAAAUUGGGAGUUUGAUAGGGCGUAAUGUUCAAGGCCAGUAAUAUCUAAUUUUAUUCAGCGUGAACCUCUAAGGAAGUAAGAUAAAUAGAAUAGUAGUAGUAAUAACGAAAGUGCAUUUUUCUUUAGAGCAUACUGUUUUUAUGUUUUGAUGAAAGGAGUGGCAG